GACGAACGCUGGCGGCGUGCUUAACACAUGCAAGUCGAACGGAAAGGCCCUGCUUUUGUGGGGUGCUCGAGUGGCGAACGGGUGAGUAACACGUGAGUAACCUGCCCUUGACUUUGGGAUAACUUCAGGAAAAUGGGGCUAAUACCGGAUAGGAGCUCCUGCUGCAUGGUGGGGGGUGGGAAGUUUCGGCGGUUGGGGGUGGACUCGCGGCUUAUCAGCUUGUUGGUGGGGUAGUGGCUUACCAAGGCUUUGACGGGUAGCCGGCCUGAGAGGGUGACCGGCCACAUUGGGACUGAGAUACGGCCCAGACUCCUACGGGAGGCAGCAGUGGGGAAUAUUGCACAAUGGGCGGAAGCCUGAUGCAGCAACGCCGCGUGCGGGAUGACGGCCUUCGGGUUGUAAACCGCUUUCGCCUGUGACGAAGCGUGAGUGACGGUAAUGGGUAAAGAAGCACCGGCUAACUACGUG
rnacentral:rRNA from 1 species